rnacentral:rRNA from 1 species
CAGCCGCCGCGGGAAAACGAAGGGUGCAAGCGUUAAUCGGAAUUACUGGGCGUAAAGCGCGCGUAGGUGGUUUGGUAAGAUGGAUGUGAAAUCCCCGGGCUCAACCUGGGAACUGCAUCCAUAACUGCCUGACUAGAGUACGGUAGAGGGUGGUGGAAUUUCCUGUGUAGCGGUGAAAUGCGUAGAUAUAGGAAGGAACACCAGUGGCGAAGGCGACCACCUGGACUGAUACUGACACUGAGGUGCGAAAGCGUGGGGAGCAAACAGGAUUAGAUACCCCAGUAGUCCCUGUCUCUUAUAC